rnacentral:rRNA from 1 species
CGAGCCCAACCUCCCACCCGUGUUUACUGUACCUUAGUUGCUUCGGCGGGCCCGCCAUUCAUGGCCGCCGGGGGCUCUCAGCCCCGGGCCCGCGCCCGCCGGAGACACCACGAACUCUGUCUGAUCUAGUGAAGUCUGAGUUGAUUGUAUCGCAAUCAGUUAAAACUUUCAACAAUGGAUCUCUUGGUUCCGGCAUCGAUGAAGAACGCAGCGAAAUGCGAUAACUAGUGUGAAUUGCAGAAUUCCGUGAAUCAUCGAGUCUUUGAACGCACAUUGCGCCCCCUGGUAUUCCGGGGGGCAUGCCUGUCCGAGCGUCAUUGCUGCCCAUCAAGCACGGCUUGUGUGUUGGGUCGUCGUCCCCUCUCCGGGGGGGACGGGCCCCAAAGGCAGCGGCGGCACCGCGUCCGAUCCUCGAGCGUAUGGGGCUUUGUCACCCGCUCUGUAGGCCCGGCCGGCGCUUGCCGAACGCAAAUCAAUCUUUUCCAGGUUGACCUCGGAUCAGGUAGGGAUACCCGCUGAACUUAAGCAUAUCAAUAAGCGGAG